AUUGAACGCUGGCGGCAUGCCUUACACAUGCAAGUCGAACGGCAGCACGGGAGCAAUCCUGGUGGCGAGUGGCGAACGGGUGAGUAAUAUAUCGGAACGUGCCCAGUCGUGGGGAUAACGUAGCGAAAGCUACGCUAAUACCGCAUACGAUCUAUGGAUGAAAGCGGGGGAUCGCAAGACCUCGCGCGAUUGGAGCGGCCGAUAUCAGAUUAGGUAGUUGGUGAGGUAAAGGCUCGCCAAGCCGACGAUCUGUAGCUGGUCUGAGAGGACGACCAGCCACACUGGGACUGAGACACGGCCCAGACUCCUACGGAGGCAGCAGUGGGGAAUUUUGGACAAUGGGCGCAAGCCUGAUCCAGCAAUGCCGCGUGCAGGAUG
rnacentral:rRNA from 1 species